CAAUACUUCAACAGACUGUCUGUUUAGCAUCAGCAGGAAGAUGAAUCUAAGUUAUUGUAUAUUAAUGGUACUGGUUUCAUAUUCUUAUGGACAGUCAUUGACCUCCUCUGAGUCAGUGGUGGAGAAAUCUGGGAAAUCGGUCACUCUGUCCUGUUCUGUGUCUGGUAUCUCAAUGAGUUACUACUGGAUGCACUGGAUUCGUCAGAAACCUGGAAAAGGACUGGAGUGGAUCGGUUACAUUGAUAGGGGCACUAGCACUGGCUUUUCCCAGUCACUACAGGGCCAGUUCUCCAUCACUAAAGACACCAGUAAAAACAUGCUGUACCUGCAGGUGAAGAGCCUGAAAGCUGAAGACACGGCUGUUUAUUACUAUACUUAUGGACAGUCUCUGACCUCCUCUGAGUCAGUGGUGGAGAAACCUGGGAAAUCGGUUACUCUGUCCUGUUCUGUGUCUGGUAUCUCAAUGGGCAGCUGGUUUCACUGGAUCCGUCAGAAACCUGGAAAAGGACUGGAGUGGAUUGGAUACAUUGAUAGUGGCACUAGCACUAGCUUUGCCCAGUCACUACAGGGCCAGUUCUCCAUCACUAAAGACACCAGUAAAAACAUGCUGUACCUGCAGGUGAAGAGCCUGAAAGCCAAAGACACAAACAGGCUACAGACUCAUACAAAAACCUGCUCAAGUUCCUCGUCUGUUGGCCAGAUGUGA